CCGCACCAUCAUGCCAUCCACCGCCGCGGGCAGAGGGCACUGGGCUGCGGCGGCCGGAGCCCCGGCGGCGCGGAGCGGGCCCGGGGGCCACAGAAUGCAAGAGGCUCUUCGGGUCGCGGUGAGGGGCUGCAGCUUUCGGCCUCUUGGAGGGCUUGCAGGAACCAUGAACCGGGGCAGAGCAAACUCACAGACUGCUGGGCUGCUGCUGCCGCCGCCGCCGCCUUCCUGGGCAUGGCCCGGUCCGACUGCCGGGGCAGGGGGGGGUCGGGAGAGGGAAGCUGGGAGUUGUCCUUCCUUCCUUUCUUUGAAAUAAAAAUCCUUUCCUCGGGGAGGAGCGCG
rnacentral:lncRNA from 1 species